rnacentral:rRNA from 1 species
GUGCCAGCAGCCGCGGUAAUACGGAGGGGGUUAGCGUUGUUCGGAAUUACUGGGCGUAAAGCGUACGUAGGCGGAUUGGAAAGUUGGGGGUGAAAUCCCAGGGCUCAACCCUGGAACUGCCUCCAAAACUAUCAGUCUAGAGUUCGAGAGAGGUGAGUGGAAUUCCAAGUGUAGAGGUGAAAUUCGUAGAUAUUUGGAGGAACACCAGUGGCGAAGGCGGCUCACUGGCUCGAUACUGACGCUGAGGUACGAAAGUGUGGGGAGCAAACAGGAUUAGAUACCCUGGUAGUCCACACCGUAACGAUGAAUGCCAGUCGUCGGGCAGUAUACUGUUCGGUGACACACCUAACGGAUUAAGCAUUCCGCCUGGGGAGUACGGUCGCAAGAUUAAAACUCAAAGGAAUUGACGG